UACGUAGGGGCCUAGCGUUGUCCGGAUUUAUUGGGCGUAAAGAGCUCGUAGGCGGUUUGGUAAGUCGGGUGUGAAAUCUCCACGCUCAACGUGGAGGGGCCGUUCGAUACUGUCGUGACUCGAGUCCGGUAGGGGAGUGUGGAAUUCCCGGUGUAGCGGUGAAAUGCGCAGAGAUGGGAGGAACACCCGUAGCGAAGGCGGCACUCUGGGCCGGUACUGACGCUGAGGAGCGAAAAGCGUGGGGAGCAAACAGG
rnacentral:rRNA from 1 species